rnacentral:tRNA from 2 species
UAUAAUAUGGUGUAUGGCGCACACAGGUCUUUGAAUCCUGAAGAAAAGUUCAACUCUUUAUAUUAUAA